GCUGUUUUGGCAGAAUUUUAGUGCAUUAAAUUUAGGAUUUAUUUAUGUAAUUAUUAUUACAAUCAGUA
rnacentral:tRNA from 1 species